UGUCUAGGGCUACACACGUGCUACAAUGGUUGGUACAACGAGUUGCGAGUCGGUGACGGGCGAGCUAAUCUCUUAAAGCCAAUCUCAGUUCGGAUUGUAGGCUGCAACUCGCCUACAUGAAGUCGGAAUCGCUAGUAAUCGCGGAUCAGCACGCCGCGGUGAAUACGUUCCCGGGUCCUU
rnacentral:rRNA from 1 species